rnacentral:tRNA from 1 species
AUUGAGGCUGCUAACUUUGAUUAGGGGCUUAUUGCUCCGCCUUUUUAUGGGUCUUGCUAUU